rnacentral:rRNA from 1 species
GACGAACGCUGGCGGCGUGCCUAAUACAUGCAAGUAGAACGCUGAAGGAGGAGCUUGCUCUUCUGGAUGAGUUGCGAACGGGUGAGUAACGCGUAGGUAACCUGCCUGGUAGCGGGGGAUAACUAUUGGAAACGAUAGCUAAUACCGCAUAAUAUUGAUUAUUGCAUGAUAGUCAAUUAAAAGGUGCAAUUGCAUCACUACCAGAUGGACCUGCGUUGUAUUAGCUAGUUGGUGAGGUAACGGCUCACCAAGGCGACGAUACAUAGCCGACCUGAGAGGGUGAUCGGCCACACUGGGACUGAGACACGGCCCAGACUCCUACGGGAGGCAGCAGUAGGGAAUCUUCGGCAAUGGACGGAAGUCUGACCGAGCAACGCCGCGUGAGAGAAGAAGGUUUUCGGAUCGUAAAGCUCUGUUGUAAGAGAAGAACGAGUGUGAGAGUGGAAAGUUCACACUGUGACGGUAUCUUACCAGAAAGGGACGGCUAACUACGUGCCAGCAGCCGCGGUAAUACGUAGGUCCCGAGCGUUGUCCGGAUUUAUUGGGCGUAAAGCGAGCGCAGGCGGUUAGAUAAGUCUGAAGUUAAAGGCUGUGGCUUAACCAUAGUACGCUUUGGAAACUGUUUAACUUGAGUGCAAGAGGGGAGAGUGGAAUUCCAUGUGUAGCGGUGAAAUGCGUAGAUAUAUGGAGGAACACCGGUGGCGAAAGCGGCUCUCUGGCUUGUAACUGACGCUGAGGCUCGAAAGCGUGGGGAGCAACAGG